rnacentral:rRNA from 1 species
GACAGAGGUGGCGAGCGUUGUUCGGAAUUACUGGGCUUAAAGGGCGCGUAGGCGGUGGUGUAAGUCUGUGGUGGAAUCUCAGGGCUCAACCUUGAAAUUGCCAUGGAAACUACAUGACUUGAGUCAGUGAGGGGAGGGCGGAAUUCCUGGUGUAGCAGUGAAAUGCGUAGAUAUCAGGAGGAAGGCCGGCGGCGAAGGCGGCCCUCUGGCACUUGACUGACGCUGAGGCGCGAAAGCGUGGGGAGCAAACAGG